UUAACUAUUGUAUAGUACUCAGACGACACUAACGUUCAGGGUUUGGGGUCCUUUGGCGGGCGCGUACCAGCGGGGGCCGGUAGCCUGGCCGGGGCCUGGCGGCCCGCCAAAGCAACAAAGGUAACAAUAACACAGGGUGGGAGAUCUACCCGUGAGGGCACGAACUCUGUAAUGAUCCCUCCGCAGGUUCACCUACGGAGA
rnacentral:misc_RNA from 1 species